CCCCUCUCAGGGUUGCACCUGGAGAAUUUCCAGUACUCUACCAGUCUCAACUACAGGAGGGAGAGUCAAGCAGAGGCCUACCCAUUCCAUUCCUAGCUUGGGCAGUGUCUAGUGAGUGGAAGGCAAUCUGCUAUAAGU
rnacentral:snoRNA from 1 species